rnacentral:rRNA from 1 species
AUUCCAGCUCCAAUAGCGUAUAUUAAAGUUGUUGCAGUUAAAAAGCUCGUAGUUGGAUUUCUGGUGCAUUCCACUGGCCUAUUGGUUAACUCCAACUUGGCUCAUUUGGAAUACGCCAUCUUUAGGCAGACCCGUCGUGGCAUUAGGUUGUCGUGAUGGUUACGCCUAUCGUUUACUGUGAAGAAAUUAGGGUGUUCAAAGCAGGCUUAUGCCAUGAAUACGUUAGCAUGGAAUAAUGAGAUAGGAUUUCGGUACUAUUUUGUUGGUUUGUGUAUGGAAAUAAUGAUUAACAGGAACAGUGUUGUGGGUAUUCGUAUUUCGUUGUCAGAGGUGAAAUUCUUGGAUUUACGAAAGACGAACGACUGCGAAAGCAUUUACCAAGGAUGUUUUCAUCG